UACAGAGGGGGGCAAGCGUUGUUCGGAAUUACUGGGGCGUAAAGGGCGCGUAGGCGGCCUUCUAAGUCGAACGUGAAAUCCCUGGGCUCAACCCAGGAACUGCGUCCGAUACUGGGAGGCUUGAAUCCGGGAGAGGGAUGCGGAAUUCCAGGUGUAGCGGUGAAAUGCGUAGAUAUCUGGAGGAACACCGGUGGCGAAGGCGGGUCUCUGGGCCGAUACUGACGCUGAGGAGCGAAAGCGUGGGGAGCGAACGG
rnacentral:rRNA from 1 species